UACAGAGGGGGCAAGCGUUGUCCGGAUUUACUGGGCGUACAGCGCGCGCAGGCGGACCAGGACGUGCCGUGUGACAAACCACCGCUCACCGGUGGAGGGCCACGGUACACGACUGGUCUGGAGGCAGGGAGAGGGAUGUGGAAUGCCCGGUGGAGCGGUGAAAUGCGUAGAGAUCGGGCGGAACACCAGCGGCGAAGGCGGCAUCCUGGUCCUGUACUGACGCUGAGGCGCGAGAGCGUGGGGAGCGAAACUGG
rnacentral:rRNA from 1 species